GAUGGUUCCCUGCAGUAAACCCUUUCAGGAGCACAAAAGGGUGGGGGGAUUUCUUUAACCGUCGCUUUCCAGAAUCACAGGGCUCGGGUUAAGUUCAGCGUUGUCACAAUGCAGGGAAAUCUCUCCGCGGACUCAAUCAGAGGCUGGGGAGGUAGAGAGGUAAAUAGACGCUGGGUUCUCCGUUGAGCCCACACCUCGCUCCCAGCAUUUUCGGGGCCGGGUAAGAAGGCAGCCAGCGGCGGGGCCGACGGCGGACAGGAGACUGCCGCCAUUAGCGCGCGUCAGCGGAGGCCUGAGGCGCCGGCGGCCGGCCCCACCCCCGCGCGCGCGCGCGCGCGCUCUUGGGGCUGCGCGGAGCCAGCUGGGCGCGCGCUCGGCGCCCGGCGGCGGAAGCCCAGGGAGGCGGGCCGGGUCCCAGCGGCGGGGCCCACGAGCCUCAGCGGGUCUGGGGGCGGCGGUGCUCCUAGUCUGAGGGGCUCCAGCCCGACAGCGGCGGUGGCGCCGGCGGCCCCUGAGCGAACGGAGGACCAGGCCGGAAGGCGGCAGCGCGGCUGCGCCCGGAGGGUGGACUGUUCAGUAAACUCAACUGUCAUGUGGAAUCACUCUAACUAAGAUAAGUUCCAAAUAGAUCUGAGAUUUAAAAUUUUUAAAUUAAAGUUGAGGGGGUGCCUGGGUGGCUUAGUUGGUUAAGCAUCUGCCUUAGGCUCAGGUCAUGAUUCCAGGGUGCUGGGAUUGAGCCCUACGCUGGGCUCCCUUCUCCUCCCCCCUACUUGUUCUCUUGCGCGCUCUCUCUCAAAAUCUUUAAAGAAACAAUAUUGACGGUCACAUCAGCAAAACGGCAAAAUAGGCAGUUGGAAGCUCAUGUUCCCACAGAAACAUUGAAAAACACGCAGAAGCUGUUAGAACCAACUUAGAACUCUGGAGAGUAGUUCAUGGUGUAUAGCAGCCAAGCAAAUGCUGAAUCAAGAAAAAUGCAACUUAAAAAGAGCAGGCAAAACACAUCAAAAAUGGGCAAAGCACCUGAACGGGUAUUUCUCCAAAGAAGAUAGACAAAUGGCCAAUAAGCACAUGAAAAAGAUGCUCGCCAUCACUAGUCACAAUGAGAUACACUUUAUUAGGAUGGUAUUAUUUAAUAAAACAAACUGACAAGUAUUGGCAAGGAUGUGGAGAAAUUAGAACCCUGGUACAUUGCUGGAGGGAAUACAAAAUUAUUCACAAUAGCCAGAGGUGUAAACAGUCCAAAUGUCCAUCACCAGAUGUGUAGGGGUGUCUGGGUGGCUCAGUCGGUUAAACGUCUGCAUGAUCCCGGAGUCCUGGGAUCUAGCCCCACAUCUGGUCCCCUGCUUAGAGGGAGUCUGCUUCUCCCUCUGCCUGCCCCUCCCGCCCGCUCAUGCAUGUGCGUGCAUGUGCUCUCUAAUAAAUAAAAUCUUGGGAAAAAACAGAUGAAUGUGUAAACAAAAUGUAUAUACAUACAAUGGAAUAUUAGCCAUAAAAGGAAAGAAUUUAUGUUAAGUGAAAUAAGCCAGACACAAAAGGACAAAUGUAUGAUUCUAUUUAUGUGAAAUACAAGGCAAAUUCAUAAGGGCAGAAGGUAGAAUAGGGGUUACUAGGCCUGGGAAGAGAGAGGAAGAGGGAGUUAUUGUUUAAUGGGUACAGAGUUUCUUUUUGGGAAGUUGAAAGAGUCUAGGAAAUGGAUAGUGGUAAUGAUUGUACAACAUUGCAGAUAUAAUUGAUGCCACUGAAUUGUAUACUGUACAUCUCGUCAGUUUGCUUCCCCAAGGAAUUGUAAGAAUGAGAAUGUUUCAUUCACUUUUGUUUGUUAAACCAAAGGGCACACUAUAAUUUUUAUCAUAAUUCUUAAGAAAUAGUUGUAAAAAAAUUUCUUUUGUUGGAAGAUUAUUAGAUUCCAAAAUUUAUUUUUUAUUGUUGUACUCUGUAGAUGAAAAUGACAGCUUUGAGUUUGGUCACAUAAGUUCUUAAGACCCUUUCAGUGCUACUUUAGGGACACCUAAUAGCUUAUGUCAAAGAUUAUUAAUGCAUAUAUAAGAAUGAACUUUUAAUACUUGAGGACUUUAGUUUUUGUUUAUUUUUACUUUUACAGUAAGACAAAAGAAUGAAAGAAGUAGAUAAUCUCGAAAGUAUAAAAGAAGAAUGGUAAGUUAAUUCAAGCUUUGCAUUUCUUUGUUACUGCAUUUCUUAGUAUCUAUUUUUACUGUAUUUCACUGACAGAUACAGUAAGUUUUCAUUAUGGGUCUUUC
ensembl:lncRNA